AUGGCCCUUCCCUGGCCGCCGCCACCAGCCCAAUCUCCGGCCGCCGCCUUCUCCGGUGCAUGGACCGGAAUCCCCCCCUCCGCGUCCCCCAGCCCACCACCACCUCUCUCCUCAUCGUCAGCCCUCCCCCAGCACCCCCGCAGAGAUCAUCCAGCCACCUACAUGCCGGAGUCCCUGCCGGCCGCCACCGACACCGAGCUCCUCAAGGCCCCCGACGCCGACGAGGCCGAGCUUGUUCCACUGCCGACGAGAACCGCAACCUCCCUCCCCUACUCACUCCAGCCACCGCGGGGCCCCCCCUUCCCAUCUCAUUCUGCACUCUGCAGCCACCACGGCCCCCCCUCCCCACCUCUUCUCCUCAAAGCCUGCCCUCUCUCCCAGUCCCAGUUCUUUUCCUUGAUUCAAUCUCCUCCACAACGGAGUAGUAGUACACGGAGAAAUCACUAAGCUUCUCCAUCGUAGAACCCAAACCCCACCCUCCCAUUGGUAUUUUUUCCUACUGAACUUGUGGAUAAUGACUUCAGUUUCCAGUUAAGACUUGGUGCCUGUUGCUGUGUUGCAGACCUUUUUCACAACUAGUCUGUUCAUAUCAUAUUGAUGUCUUCCCAUCACUUUUGUAUCUCCAGCUUGACCACCAAGUUCAACAUUUGCCAGGUCCUUCUGUACAAGAUAUCACCACUUCUGAUUCAUAUGAGUGAAUCCUUAUUUAUUUUUCAUGGUUUUGACUAUAUAUGAGUGAAUUGGAGCAAGUUUGGUUUUGUUACUCGUUUUCCUUUUCUUAUAGUACAAUAAAAUAGGGAUAGCUAAUGUUAUGUCUGAAGAAUACACAAAUUGCACUAACAACUUGGGGAGGUUCAAACUACAGAGCGAUAAUAGCAAGGUUAGUUCCUCACUCCCCUGAUUCGUAGUGGCAUAUGUGGAUGAUUUGUCUAAGAGGAUCAAAUGCUGGGAAGGAUGAUCUUCUUCUUCAGUAAAGAUUAUUUUGUGUCAACUUUGCAUUUUUAGCUAUCUAAAUAGAACCAUCAAUGACUAACAUGUUUUAUGGAGGUCUGUUUGGCUCUUAGCAGGCCUGUAGACACGAUGUUUACCAAGAUGACUUUGAAAACACCCGGCAGGAGGAUAGGUUGGUCUGGCCAACGACGGCCUGGCAAUAUGAUUGGUCGUCCAGGUAAAGGUUUCACUUCCUUUUUCCCUUACACAUUUGCUAGAUCUUCUUCCCGAUGAAAGUCAUGUGCCUAGAUUGCCUGCUAGACCUUACUAACUCAACCACUCGAUGUUAAACUAUGUGCAUGUAUGCCUAGAGUGCUUACUGGACCUUGCUAACUCGAGAAGUUGAUGUUAAAGCCUUGAAGUACCAAUUAGACUUAUUGACUCUUCUAUACAUGUAUGCCUACAUUUAGUGGGUGCCUACUUUACUUAGUAGACCUUUCUCUAUAUGGUUUUUUUUUCUUCAAUUUGGUUCAGAGCUGUUACCUGGUUACCUGCUACACAUAAGCACAUGGAAAGCUUAAGACCUAGCGUAAACCUGGGAAUUGUUUGGACUCAAACUGAAGUUUCAGUUUGGUUUUUCCAUCACUUUGCUUUGGGUUGGAUUAAAUGGGCUGAGCACCUGUGGUAAUUUGGUCUAGUGUGGGUUGUAGCAAUUAUACUAGAUUGCCUUGCUUUGGUCUGGAGUCUGGGCAGAGACCAAACGGUCAUAGCCUGUUUCAAUCCAUAGACAAACUGGAAUGAGCAACCAAUUCGACCGCACAUCUGUACGACACCAGCGAUUCCAUCUGCCCUAUGCUAGGGUAAGGUGCCGUUGCCGCCGGCUGUACCCCGUCGUUCCUCCUCCACUGUCCCUACUCUUUGGCCCUCCUGGCUGCGUCGAUGGUGGGGGCGCCUGGCUGACGCCAAGCUUUUGCGGCAGGUGGGGGGCCCCUCUCUCUCUCAACCCCGCUCUCUCGCCUCUGUAGGUAGAGAUGCUGAUGACCACAAAACUGUGCAGGCUUAGCUUGGUCUUGCCCAGAUUACUUUAGAAAUUAUUAUCCCUGACUGGGCUUGGUCGUCAACUGCUAAUGCCCUUUUCGCGUUAAGGGUUUUGUCCAUGGUUUAAGUUUGUGGUUUCAAUCCAAAAGUCAGAAACGGUUUGGAUGGGGUUGGGGUUGGGUUGAAAAAAACAUACAAUUUGGUUUGGUCUGGAUUCUGGCUGAUUUUUUUGGGACCGGUUUGGUUUGAAUCCUGGGCGUAUAGUGCUAUGGGCUGGACUAGCUUUGGUUUGGAUGUGAAACUAUUCCCAAGCUUAACCUAGCAGUCCAAAAUUAAGUAGCAUAUUCUCUUGCCAGUCAUCCAAAAUUAAGUAGCAUAAUUCUCUUGCCAGUCAUCUAAAAGUUCAGCGACAACUGCUGACACAUGAGCUUCAUUUUACCUGUUAUGCUUCUUUUGCAUGAUCAAUUGCAGGUCCAUGAGGCAGCAGCUCUAAGGCAAAUGAAGGCUUUAGUUAAUUGCCUGUGAUAUUUAUGCCCCUGUUGGGCAAUAUUUAUGCCAUCGUUAUAAAGCAUGGGCAAGAUUUAUGGCCCCGUUGAAGGUACAUGGGCAAUAUUUAUGCCCCGCAAAAAAAAGAAGGUACAUGAAGAAAAAAAAAACACAGGACAGAGCAUACCUACAGGAGGUCUGCUAACGAAAAAAAUAUGGAGCAACACUCGGUACAUACAUGGAGAU